UACGAAGGGGGCUAGCGUUGCUCGGAAUCACUGGGCGUAAAGGGUGCGUAGGCGGAUUGUUAAGUCAGGGGGUGAAAUCCUGGAGCUCAACUCCAGAACUGCCUUUGAUACUGGCGAUCUCGAGUCCGGGAGAGGUCGAGUGGAACUGCGAGUGUAGAGGUGAAAUUCGUAGAUAUUCGCAAGAACACCAGUGGCGAAGGCGGCUCACUGGCCCGGUACUGACGCUGAGGUGCGAAAGCGUGGGGAGCAAACAGG
rnacentral:rRNA from 1 species